GCCUCUGUAGCUCAGUUGGUUUGAGUGCUGCUCCGGAAUCGCAGGGCCGUAGGUUCAAUUCCUACCAGAGGAC
rnacentral:tRNA from 1 species